UUCGCCCUUUUCGGUUGAUCCUGCCGGAGGCUACUGCUAUCGGAAUUCGAUUAAGCCAUGCGAGUCGAGAGGGUUCGGCCCUCGGCUGACGGCUCAGUAACACGUGGAUAACCUGCCCUCAGGUAGGGGAUAAUCUCGGGAAACUGAGGAUAAUACCCUAUAAGCAUCCUCUGCUGGAAUGCUUGGAUGUUCAAAGGCAACGCCUGAGGAUGGGUCUGCGGCCUAUCAGGUUGUAGUGGGUGUAACGGACCCACUAGCCCGCGACGGGUACGGGCCUUGAAAGAGGUAGCCCGGAGAUGGACUCUGAGACACGAGUCCAGGCCCUACGGGGCGCAGCAGGCGCGAAAACUUCGCAAUGCGGGAAACCGUGACGAGGGAAUUCCGAGUGCUCAUACAAUGUAUGGGCUUUUCUUAUGUGUAAAAAGCAUGAGGAAUAAGGGCUGGGUAAGACCGGUGCCAGCCGCCGCGGUAAUACCGGCAGCUCGAGUGGUAGCCACUUUUAUUGGGCCUAAAGCGUCCGUAGCCGGUCAGGUAAAUCCUUGGGUAAAUCGUACAGCUUAACUGUGCGGCUUCCGGGGAGACUGCUUGACUUGGGACCGGGAGAGGUUGGAGGUACUCCUGGGGUAGGGGUGAAAUCCUGUAAUCCUAGGUGGACCACCGGUGGCGAGGGCGUCCAACCAGAACGGCUCCGACGGUGAGGGACGAAGGCUAGGGGCGCAAACCGGAUUAGAUACCCGGGUAGUCCUAGCUGU
rnacentral:rRNA from 1 species